CUGCGCCGCUCUUCUCAGUACCCAUCCCGCAGACAGGAAAUGACGCAAUACCGCCGCUCUCAGUCCCCUCAGACCGGAAAUGUCGUCAACCCUUGCGACGAAAACAAGUUACGUUAUUUCACCUCUCGCGAAGAAAACACGGUAAGUGGCCGCACUGAAAAAAAGUUUUUAAAAGCGUAUGCAUGUUUAAAAAUGUUAAAUAGUUAAACAACACUUGCGGUGAAAAUAUGAAGUGUUUAUUCUGAGUUGAAAAGACCGUACUUAUAUCUAGUAUUCUUAAUGUAAUUUAAAUAAUGUAUUCCUUUACUAACUGCAUGUGACUUUGCUCUACUUAUAUUGUUUAAUACGUACUGAUGAAUUCAGCAGCGAAUUGGCUAAUGCUGCUAAUGCUUUUUACAUUUUUUUUUCACAAUGAACAGUCUUCUUUGUGUAGUUUUCAUUAUAUUGCACUCUUAUUUUUCAUUAUGUACAUGCCUGCAAUUCGCAGCUCGCUGUUUUUGUUGUUGUAUGGUGUUGUUGUUUUGCCUUCAUUUGUUUUGUCUGGUCCUUUGUCGUUUGAAUGUUGUCACAUGAUCCAAAUAGGACAAGCUCCAAGAUCACCACCCCAUUGGGAAGAAACUAAAUCACGACCCCCAAAUGGUAGUCUUCCCAUGCAGAUACAGGGAUGUCACACAGAUCCAAAUGGAAACAUCGAACACAGUAAAACCCACGUGGCAGACAGGACCAAUGGUGACAAUAUAAGACGAUGCCGAGCUUCAUGGACGGUUCAAACUCAUCCUGCCCAGGAACGGCUGAAAACGUUGACAGUCAAUCAACAGGGGGACAUGGAAAGAGAGGAUUGGAAGUGAAAUAGAGGGUUUUCCGGGACAGCCAUAGGGGAAGGACUGUGGCAUCUUCAUGUUGAUGACUGAUAUGCCAACUCUGAGGAAGUGGUGGUGUAUAUUGCUAGCGGACAAUUUCAAACUUGGGUGCAUGCCACAGGAAAGAGUUUGCCCAUUGGACAGAUGAGGCAAAAGCAUUACUGCAGGGUGAAGUGCCACCAGUCUAUCAGUUACAGAAGUGAAAUUUGAAUAUAAUUGCUGAGGAAGAGGUGCAACCACAGCUCCUUCAAGUUAGUGGUGGCCCACUCAAAAAAGAUAUGGCGGGGAAAAAAUUUUUUGGUAAAAGGAUUGUGCAAGACAGCACAAAAGCCUCGGACAGGGCUAGGGGGGGAAAAAAAUCAAUGCAGUAGGAGUUCCCAAGCAUCCUGCAGAUGGAAGAGGAUGAGCACGAACUACAAUGUCUUGGAGCCAUUCAAGUUCUGUUUCAACCAUCUGGAAGAUGGAUUUACCUUUUUUGAGGAGAUUGUUGACUAAAGAAAAUAUCUAUUCUCUCAAUAAUAAUAAAAAAUAAUAAAACUAAAAAAAUAAAGUUUACCACAUCAGAACUGGUUGUAUUGAGUUCAUUUUUCUACACUUA